rnacentral:rRNA from 1 species
UACGUAGGGUGCGAGCGUUGUCCGGAAUUAUUGGGCGUAAAGAGCUCGUAGGCGGUCUGUCGCGUCGGAUGUGAAAACUCGGGGCUCAACCCCGAGCCUGCAUUCGAUACGGGCAGACUUGAGUUCGGCAGGGGAGACUGGAAUUCCUGGUGUAGCGGUGAAAUGCGCAGAUAUCAGGAGGAACACCGGUGGCGAAGGCGGGUCUCUGGGCCGAUACUGACGCUGAGGAGCGAAAGCGUGGGGAGCGAACAGG